UGGUGCAUCAAGUCAGAAGCAGUCAGUCAC
rnacentral:piRNA from 1 species